AACGAACGCUGGCGGCAUGCCUAACACAUGCAAGUCGAACGAGACCUUCGGGUCUAGUUGCGCACGGUUACGUACCGCCUGGUAACCUGCCCUUAGGUUCGGUAUCUCUCCCCGAAAGGGGUGCUAAUACCGCGUAAUCUCUUCGGACCUAAGAUUUAUCGCCUUUGGAUGGGCCCGCGUUGGAUUCGCUAGUUGGUAGGGUAAAUGCCUACCAAGGCUAAGAGCCAUAGCUGGUCUGAGCGGAUGAUCAGCACCACUGGGACUGAGAGACGGACCAGAUUCCUAGGGGAGGAAGGAAGGGGGAAUAAGGGACGAUGGGCGAGAGACUGAUGCUGCAAUGCCGCGUGGGUGAGGAAGGAGUGAGGGUUGUAAAGGUCUGUUAAAAGGGAUGAUAAUGACAGUACCGGGAGAAUAAGCUACGGCUAACUACGUG
rnacentral:rRNA from 1 species